CCUCCCGAGCCCCCCAUACCCCCGGAGCCCCCACUGCCUGUCGGCAGGGUCACGGGGUACCACUGCUCUGUGAAGUGGCGCCCAGCCAGGGUGGCCACAGGCACAGUCACCAGGCCGACAUAGCCCGCCUUGUCCUUCUUGCGCUUUUUGUCUGAGUCACGGUACAGGUGCAACCGCAGGGCCCGGACGGCUGGCAGGUUGUUGAACUCGAAGUGCUCGCCCCAGAAGACGGUGUCCCCCGAGGCCGAGCGGGGCUUGGAGGUGAGAGGGAGAUUUGGAGACCAGAGACACAGGAGGGGAGAUGACCACAUGAAGAUGAAGGCAGAAAGUGCACAGAUGCAGCAAGAAGUCAAGGGAUGCCUGAGACUGCCGGCAACCACCAGAAGGUAUGAAGGGACAAGGGAGGAUUCUUCCUAGAGCUUCUGAGGGAGCAAGGCCCUGCUGACACCUUGAUUUUUGACUUCCAAUCUCCUGAACUGUCAGAGAAUAAAUUUCUGUUGUGUUAA